rnacentral:rRNA from 1 species
UACGUAGGGACCAAGCGUUGUCCGGAAUCAUUGGGCGUAAAGAGCGUGUAGGCGGCUUGUUAAGUCUUGCGUGAAAUCUCGGGGCUCAACCCCGAGCGGUCGUGAGAAACUGGCAGGCUAGAGUGCGGGGAGAGGAGAGUGGGAAUUCCUGGUGUAGCGGUGAAAUGCGCAGAUAUCAGGAAGAACACCCGUGGCGAAGGCGGCUCUCUGGAACGCAACUGACGCUGGGACGCGAAAGCGUGGGGAGCAAACAGG